CGGGAAAAUAAUUCAAGACACAGCCACGGGCAUUCUUGUGGUCCCCGACUGGCCAACACAGAGCUGGUAUCCCCUCCUACUUCAAUUUCUAGUGAAGCCUCCACAUCGUCUAUUGCCCAAAGCCGACCUCUUAGUCUUACCAUCAGACCGGGACCACAAACAUCCUCUCCACAAGAACUUGAACAUUCUUAUUUGUCAUGUAUCAGGAAUAAACUACAAGUGAGGGGUUUCGCCACCGAUACAAUUGACAUUAUUCUCUGUUCUUGGCGAAAGGGAACUAAGACGCAAUAUCAGUCAACUGCAAAGAAAUGCCGGGUUUGAUUUUUGUCAGAAAAACAACUGUGAUAUCAUUUCACCACCUUUGCCUCAGGCAUUGUCAUUUCUGUCCGACAGUUAUUCAAAUCUGGUUUGUCGUACAGUUCUAUUAAUACUGCUGGAAGUGUUCUUUCUUCAAUUUUGUCCUAGGAGAGCAAUCCUACUCCCUUCGGCCAACUGCCCAUCGUUAAACGCUUUAUGAAAGGUGUAUAUGAGUCCCGACCGUCUCUGCCAAGGUAUUGCUCCACAUGGAAUGUCAAUACUGUCUUCAAUUAUUUAAGACGUCAGCAAGCACCAUCAUUAUUAUCCAUGAAAGAUCUCAGUCAAAGAGUUGCUUUUCUCUUAGCCCUUCUCAGCGGACAGAGAUGCCAAACAAUCGGUAAAUUAUCAAUAGACAAUAUGACAAUGAAAGAGACAAAAAUCACUUUUUUAAUAGCAGAUAAAUUAAAACAUUCUAGGCCUGGUGUUCAUCAACAGCCACUAGUUUUUAUGGCGUAUGUUGCUGAUCAAAAAUUGUGUAUCCUAACAUAUUUACAGGAAUUUUUAAAACGAACAUCACCCGUUCGUGGUGACAACAAGCAGCUUCUUAUCAGUUUCGUGAAACCUUACAAACCCAUCUCAACGGAAACAAUCUCGCACUGGAUAAAAAACUUCAUGACAACUGCUGGUGUUGAUACUACACAAUAUAAGAGUCAUAGUACAGAGCAGCAUCAACAUCUCAUUUAGCAUCCCAACAAUUUGACCUUAAAGAUAUCUUGAAUGCAGCUGGGUGGUCAAAAGAAGAGACUUUCAAACGUUUUUACCAUUUCAAAGAUAACAAUGAAUUUAACUUUGGUAGUGCUAUUAUGAAUACACUAUCCUAAUCAAUUGCAUGGUCUAUUUGUAU